AAGUGUCACUGCACUACCGCGUUUUAUAAGCAGAAAUAUAAUGCAGAAUGUGCGUUAUGACAGAAUUAGGUGGCGGCGGAGCUUGUCUCCUUUCGCUUAUCGUUUAUUAUUAAGUCACAUGGAUAAAACCCCCCAAAACGGUCCGCCGUGCCACUGAGUCCGCGCCCGUUUCUGCUCAGACCGCUUCCGCGUUUCACACGAAGCGAAUCAUUUCCUGUCUGUAAAUGAAAGUGAAAGUGAUUUAAAGCUGGAAUCGCCGUUCUGUCAAGACACACGAAUGUAAUUCUGGAAAAAUAAUAAAGAUAUUUUAAUUGCAAGAGACCCCAACAGGAAUCAUCUGGUCUGGAUCGGCACUAAAAUGGACGGAACUGCUUCUGAAAUGCGCCCCCCUGUGGAGUGUAACAGAAAGAGCACUGAGAGUGUCCUGAUGGAGAGAGCAGACUCCCCUGUACACAGCAGUGUGAUGCCGUCCCCACUGUAUGAAUUAUAUUUAUACCAUGAGGGUUUGUUUCCUCUCACUGCCC